rnacentral:rRNA from 1 species
AUUGAACGCUGGCGGAAUGCUUUACACAUGCAAGUCGAGCGGCAGCGCGGCCUUCGGGCUGGCGGCGAGCGGCGAACGGGUGAGUAAUGCAUCGGAACAUGCCCAGUCGUGGGGGAUAACACUUCGAAAGAAGUGCUAAUACCGCAUACGUCCUGAGGGGGAAAGCGGGGGAUCGCAAGACCUCGCGCGAUUGGAGUGGCCGAUGUCAGAUUAGCUAGUUGGUGGGGUAAAGGCCUACCAAGGCGACGAUCUGUAGCUGGUCCGAGAGGAUGAUCAGCCACACUGGGACUGAGACACGGCCCAGACUCCUACGGGAGGCAGCAGUGGGGAAUUUUGGACAAUGGGGGCAACCCUGAUCCAGCCAUUCCGCGUGAGUGAAGAAGGCCUUCGGGUUGUAAAGCUCUUUCGGCAGGAACGAAACGGUGGGCUCUAACAUAGUCCGCUAAUGACGGUACCUGGAGAAGAAGCACCGGCUAACUACGUG